UUAAAAUUUGCAUUUAACCCCUCGUUAUUACCUAAAACCCUUCGGAGGUGGAGAGUUCAAUUCCUCUGCUCUCCCUCAAAACCUCUCUUUUAACUCUAUUCUCAUUCUCCGCCUCACAUCACAUGGCUGACAGAGACAGACACCGCGACCGCGACCGCGAACGUGACAGAGAAAGACGCCGAGACAAAGAAGAUCGAGACCGGGACCGAGACCGAGACCGAGACCGGGACCGGGACAGAGACAGACGCCGAGACAAAGAAGAUCGUGAACGUGAACGUGAACGUGAUAGAGAGCGCACGCGUAGCACACGUUCCCAUACAAGGUCGCCAGAGCAUACACGGUCACGACACGCUCGUUCUCGUUCACGGUCCAGGACACCAUCUCAGCGGCGAAAUCGGCAUCAGCGGACACCGUCACCAUCGCCGCCAAGAAAACGGCAUCGUCACGGAAGUGAAGACGGAAAGAGAGAGAGGGAUAGGCAGAGGGAAAUAGUGUCAGAUUUUGUUGAUGGAAUAGCAAGGGAGGUAGUGGAGGGAGAGGUGAAAGAAGGAGGAGGAGGAGGGGAGGACGUGGCAGUGGAUGAGGAUGAGAUUGAGAUGAUGAAGAAAUUAGGGAUUCCAGUUGGUUUUGAUUCGACGAAAGGAAAGCCUGUGCCUGGUGCUGAUGUGAGUGGCGUUAGACCCGUUACUAAGCGGCAGCCUAGGCAGUACAUGAAUCGACGAGGAGGGUUCAACCGGCCGUUGCCUCCUGAACGCAAUCGCUAGAUGUUUAUUUAUGUCGCUUGUGGAAUUCUGAUAAGACAAUUAUUUUUCUUCUCUUGGGAUUGGGUGUGGAGAGAGAAGGUGAAAACCAAUUGCCAUUUUAAGGAAUAGAUGGAAGAAUCUGACAAUAAGGUGACUUGAAUGGUUGAAGCAGAUUAAUAGGAUCCUCUGGAAGAUCGUUUAAGAGGUUUAUGGCGUGCCUUGAGAUGAGGUUUUUCUAUCAUUGUAUGGGUGUACUGUUUUUGAUUUUUUUAAUUGCUCUUUAAGAAAGUAAUCAGAGUGAUUAGAUUUAGACAUGGAUUUUGGGAUUGAUAUUCUCAAGUCAAAUCAGAUGUACUUUAUAAAUGGCACAUGAGAAGAUGUUAACUAUUGAAUCUGUGAACACUUAAGUUUAUAGUUCUAACUGCCAUUGACAGUAAUAUGCCUCAGGAUCAUAUCGAUUUGUCGGGCAGCUAA